rnacentral:rRNA from 1 species
UACAGAGGUCUCAAGCGUUGUUCGGAUUCAUUGGGCGUAAAGGGUGCGUAGGCGGUGGGGCAAGUCAGGUGUGAAAUCCCGGAGCUCAACUCCGGAACUGCACUUGAUACUGCUUUACUAGAGUACUGGAGAGGAGACUGGAAUUUACGGUGUAGCAGUGAAAUGCGUAGAUAUCGUGAGGAACACCAGAGGCGAAGGCGGUUACCUGGACAGUUACUGACGCUCAGGCACGAAAGCAUGGGGAGCAAAAGGG